AGUGAACGCUGGCGGUAGGCCUAACACAUGCAAGUCGCACGGCAGCACAGUAAGAGCUUGCUCUUACGGGUGGCGAGUGGCGGACGGGUGAGGAAUACAUCGGAAUCUACUUUUUCGUGGGGGAUAACGUAGGGAAACUUACGCUAAUACCGCAUACGACCUACGGGUGAAAGCAGGGGAUCUUCGGACCUUGCGCGAUUGAAUGAGCCGAUGUCGGAUUAGCUAGUUGGCGGGGUAAAGGCCCACCAAGGCGACGAUCCGUAGCUGGUCUGAGAGGAUGAUCAGCCACACUGGAACUGAGACACGGUCCAGACUCCUACGGGAGGCAGCAAUGGGGAAUAUUGGACAAUGGGCGCAAGCCUGAUCCAGCCAUACCGCGUGGGUGAAGAAGGCCUUCGGGUUGUAAAGCCCUUUUGUUGGGAAAGAAAAGCAGCAGGUUAAUACCCCGCUGUUCUGACGGUACCCAAAGAAUAAGCACCGGCUAACUUCGUG
rnacentral:rRNA from 1 species